GAUAUUAAAUUAAACCGGUGUUGCAAAGACCGGCUCCUUUUAGGUAAAUAUAUAUUAAACACGCCAUUCGCUGUAUUAAAAAUGGCGGCGUAUCACGUAUGUUUAGCACUGGUGAUAUUUGUAGAAGUUAAUUCACUUCCGACUAAACUUAAUAGAAUAACAGAUACUAAUAAGACUGGUGAAAGAAACGCGAUAGCUGGUGAAGAAAAUGUGAAGAUGGCGAAAGUAAUUGAACAUUUUAGUGGUGUUUUAGGAGACGUUGUUGAUAGCCCGGAUAUAGCUGAAGAUGUUGUGAAGUAUCGGAAAGAAAGAAGUUCUGAUGAUGACUAUCCCGAUGAAGGUGGUUUUACCAGUGCAAACAAAAAGAAUGAUGACGAUUUCAUAGCAAACGUACAAAAAUGCUCGGCAAACAACACUAGAGCACCAUGGGGGAAGUGUAUUACCUGCACUGAGUAUUUCGCGAAAUUGAAAAAAAGAGGGAAAGGUUGCAACUGAAGAAUAUACAAUAUCUUCUCAUCUCGUCAAAUUGUUAUAUUCUAACACAUUUUAAUUAAUGAUUGUGGUCAUACCAACCAACUAAAUUAUUUUUACUUUAAUGAUACUCAUUUUAUUUAGAUACUGUACUAUAAUUAUUGUAUUAAAUUUUAUGUCGUUCCUUGCGCCUACAGUUUCGUUAAAUAACACAUUCAGUACGAUUAUUUUUGUGAAAUACUUUUACAAUAAAAUACAAUGACGU